AAUAAUUAGCUAUAAAAUUAUAAUAAAAAUCUAUGUUUGUUACAUCAAAUUGAGAAAAGAUAUGACUAAAAUUCUCAAGCUUGUUUACAUUAUGAUCUUCUUUGUUUUCUUAUUUUUUCUUGUUAGGGUUGUAAACUCUGAUUAUCCUUAUCCUUGUUUUGUUGACAAGAAAACUUGUCAACUAAAUUGUCCUAAACCUUUGAUCGGCGUUUGUAGUAAUAAGCAAUGUCAUUGCAUAGGAAAGUUCAAGAUGGAGAAAGACAAUGUCACCACCUAAUUGUGAAAAUCUACUUCUAUGAAUUAAGUUGUAGGAUAAAGACCUACAACAAGCAGCGAAGAAGGAAACUACGAAUAAUUUAAGUCACAAUUUUAGCCUUUAAGUCACAAUGUCUUUCUAUUUUGUUGCUCACUUAUAUAUCAUAGAAAUUAACAACAUUGAAUGCUAUCUUUGGUUACCCAAUCAGGGGACUUUUGUGUGUUUUGAAUGCAAACAAGUGUAUGUUUUUUAUAAAA